UGCUCCCCCCCGUAAGCCCCCCGUGCCCCCGCCCCGCCCCCCGCGCGCGGCGGGCGGGGCGGGGGCACGGGGGGCCUACGGGAGGCAGCAGUGGGGAAUAUUGGACAAUGGGCGAAAGCCUGAUCCAGCCAUGCCGCGUGUGUGAAGAAGGUCUUCGGAUUGUAAAGCACUUUAAGUUGGGAGGAAGGGUUGUAGAUUAAUACUCUGCAAUUUGACGUA
rnacentral:rRNA from 1 species